UACGUAGGGGGCAAGCGUUGUCCGGAUUUACUGGGCGUAAAGAGCGCGUAGGCGGGUUCUUAAGUGAGAGGUGAAAGGUUCAGGGCUCAACCCGAACAGUGCCUUUCAUACUGGGAGCCUUGAGUGUGGGAGAGGCGAGUGGAAUUUCUGGUGUAGCGGUGAAAUGCGUAGAUAUCAGAAGGAACACCCAUGGCGAAGGCAGCUCGCUGGCCUACAACUGACGCUGAGGCGCGAAAGCGUGGGGAGCAAACAGG
rnacentral:rRNA from 1 species